rnacentral:tRNA from 1 species
GGAGAGGUACCCAAGUGGCUGAAGGGGCGGGUUUGCUAAACCUGUAGGGGGGAGUAAUCCCUCGCGAGAGUUCGAAUCUCUCCCUCUCCGCCA